rnacentral:sRNA from 1 species
UAAACCAAUUCAGCAACGGAGCAACG